rnacentral:rRNA from 1 species
GAGUUUGAUUAUGGCUCAGAUUGAACGCUGGCGGCAUGCUUUACACAUGCAAGUCGAACGGCAGCACGAGUGCUUGCACUUGGUGGCGAGUGGCGAACGGGUGAGUAAUGCAUUGGAACGUGCCUUGUAUUGGGGGAUAACUGAGCGAAAGCUUAGCUAAUACCGCAUACGCCCUGAGGGGGAAAGCUGGGGAUCGUUUGACCUGGCGAUAUAAGAGCGGCCAAUGUCUGAUUAGCUAGUUGGUGAGGUAAAGGCUUACCAAGGCGACGAUCAGUAGCGGGUCUGAGAGGAUGAUCCGCCACACUGGGACUGAGAGACGGCCCAGACUCCUACGGGAGGCAGCAGUGGGGAAUUUUGGACAAUGGGGGGAACCCUGAUCCAGCCAUGCCGCGUGUCUGAAGAAGGCCUUCGGGUUGUAAAGGACUUUUGUUGGGGAGCAAAGGUAUCUGGUUAAGAGCUGGAGAUUAUGAGA